CUGUCUCCUCUCUCUGAGCCAUGCAUAACUUUAUAAACUUCUAUUUUGUCACCUCUUACACUCGCCGUUUCUCUAAACAAAGAAGUCCCAGUUGCUGAGAAUUACUUCUGAAGUUACCCAUUCAACAGGGUUGUUGUUGGCACCCUCCUGUCUCAGGAGACAAUGGAGGAGUGUGCCUUUGGGGGUGAAGUCAAAUAUUAUAGCGGCAGAGAGGAUAUUUUUAUACAGAAGUCUUUCUACUUCCCUCCCUUCAAAUGGUAACUCUUUCCUUCAAAAAAAUCAAUGUUUUUUCUUUCCAUCCCUUGCUCUGUGUGCCAUAUAUAUAUCUAUUCCUACCAGUCACUUUUCCCUCAGCAGAAGGACUGGAUUGCUCUAAUUGGUUUCUGCUUUGUUCCAAGAUAUACACCUCACUGACCCGGCUUACCCUCGGGAAACAUUUCGUUCUAGCUAACCAGGUGUGUAUGAAACUCGGCCUUCUCAAUCCAUAACUCUGAUGUAUCAAAAUAGCCCAGUGCUUGUUUAAUACAACACAUAGGUGAUCACAGAGCCAGCAAGUCCUAUUCUCACAGGGUCACCAUUUUGUAGUGCCUGUCUUACAGAUGAAUGCCUCAGUUCUGCCAGCUGCAGUGUUGCUGGUCACUUUCCCCCAAGACUGCUGUAAUUGCUCUUUUGUUGUUGUUGUUGUUUAGUCAUUUAGUUGUGUCCGACUCUUUAUGACUCCAUGGACCAGAGCACGCCAGGCUCUCAUAUCUUCCACUGCCUCCCGCAGUUUGGUCAAACUCAUGUUCGUAGCUUCGAGAACACUGUCCAACAAUCUCAUCCUCUGUCAUCCCCUUCUCCUUGUGCCUUCAAUCUUUCCCAACAUCAGGGUCUUUUCCAGGGAGUCUUCUCUUCUCAUGAGGUGGCCAAAGUAUUGGAGCCUCAGCUUCAGGAUCUGUCCUUCCAGUGAGCACCCAGGGCUGAUUUCCUUCAGAAUGGAUAGGUUUGAUCUUCUUGCAGUCCAUGGGACUCUCAAGAGUCUCUUCCAGCACCAUAAGUCAAAAGCAUCAAUUCUUUGGCGAUCAGCCUUCUUUUGCUCUUUUAGCUCUUUUAAUUGUUAUACUUUUUAAUAGGCUUGUUUUAUUGUAUAUUUUAAUCCUGUGUGCUUUUAAUGUUGGAAUGAUGGAAUUGCAUUAGUGUGUCUUUUGAUUACACAUGGAUAUUUUAGAACUGAUUUGAUAUUUGUAAACAGCUUAGAAGACAUUUUGGCACGCAAGCAGUGUAUAAAUGUUGGAAUAUUCUAGAAGAAACUUGAAAAUGGUCCUGAAGAAGUUGCUAGGCAACAGAAAAUUUCCCCAGCAACAGGUGCCUUUAUUAGGGCAUGUGAUCAACUAAGUCUGGGUCAGUGUAAAUGAGCAUGGGAAGGAGUCAGCAUUAGGUCUCUGGCUGGAUGGCUAAAAGUGAAAAAGAUUAUGUUGUGUUCUUUGUUUUUGACCAGUGUAAAGUUUUGUAAAUAAUAAAAUACACUGAAAAACAGAACCAAAGAGUGUUUAUUACUGUAAUGGGGAUUUCACUAAGAGCUGGGGUGCUGCUGCUGUAAAGAAGUAAAAGAUGCAGGAAAACUCUGUAAAAGGAACUCUGCUGCAGAAAUGAAAACCCAAGAGUAGAUGCUCACACACCAACAUAAAAUAAUUAAGUAAUAUUAUUGCUUGUAAAAAAAUUGUACCUGUCGCCCCACCAAUUGUUCCUACGCUUGGUCGGCAUCCUGGGUUCAUACAUCUUGGUUGGUUUUCUGCUUGUUGUUUUGUGCAGGUAGGUGACCCCUAGGUGUGGCUUGCAUUUGGUAUGUUGACCCAUUUUUCAACACAAGCUUUAUCAAUACAUGUUUGGUCCUUCAAAUUGUUCAUUUUGUUUUGAAAUAUAUCUGGGAUGCCUUUCUGGACCUUACCCAUCCUAGAUGGCUUGCAGCUACCAACAACACAAAAAGAGGACAUCAACAAUAUAAAAGGUAAAACUUUUUUUACAUAAAAAUAAUAACCAAUAAGACAUACUCACCCAACCAAUAAAGUACUUUUCUCUCACACAGCAAUAGUAAUCAUAACAGUAAUCUGGCCAAUAAAAAUAACAAUUAUGAAAAAUCACAAGAAACCAGCUGGAAAAUAAGUGCCUUUAAAACCUCCCUAGAUCCCUGAAGAAAGACAGUUUGCCACAGGUCCAGUGGUAGAGAGAGCCAAAGCUUUGGGUAAUUCCAGGGCAACUGACCAGCCCUUUUCAUUUGAAAUCAGUUGUUGGAAUAGAAACAUGGUGCAAUCUUCCAUUCAGCUCAUAAAGUCAUGAUUUCUCCUUUGUGGUCAGCUGAGCUCAAUUCCUUCUGAAGAUUCAGUGGGUGGGAGAAGUGCACCAAAAAUGGUUUCAAAAAAGGCCAAGCUUCACUUCUUCUUUUGUUGGAUUUUUAUUUUUGUGCAGAUCUCUUUUCCUUAUCUGCAGAAUCUGCCGAUCUGUUUGCUUCACUUCUGCAUGAAAAUCCUUCUUGAAAUAGUAUUUAAACAGGCAU